GUAAGGAAAGCGGAAGCCGGGAAUGGAAAGCCCGGUGCAAGCGGGGUACCAGUCACUUUGGCAAAUCCGGGUGGCAAUGGGAAGCCGUGAUGCGGAGCGAAAUAAAGUAGCGAAGUCCGUGAGCCAUGCGUCAAGAAAAGCCGCUAUCGUUUAUACCGUACCCGUACCGUAAACCGACACAGGUGGAUGAGGAGAGAAUCCUAAGGCCGGCGGAAGAAGCAUUGUCAAGGAACUCGGCAAAAUGGCCCCGUAACUUAGGGAUAAGGGGUGCCUGGGAAACCAGGCCGCAGAGAAUAGGCUCAAGCAACUGUUUAGCAAAAACACAGGUCUAUGCGAAACCGGAAGGUGAGGUAUAUGGGCUGACGCCUGCCCGGUGCUGGAAGGUUAAGAGGAGAGGUUAGCGCAAGCGAAGCUUUGAAUUUAAGCCCCAGUAAACGGCGGCCGUAACGAUAACGGUCCUAAGGUAGCGAAAUUCCUUGUCGGGUAAGUUCCGACCCGCACGAAAGGCGUAAUGAUUUGAGCGCUGUCUCGACAAUGCAUCCGGUGAAAUUGAAGUACCAGUGAAGAUGCUGGUUACCUGCGCCAGGACGGAAAGACCCCAUGGAGCUUUACUCCAGUUUGGUACUGGGACUCGGUAUUGCAUGUACAGGAUAGGUGGGAGGCUAGGAGACAGUAACGCCAGUUAUUGUGGAGCCGCUGUUGGGAUACCACCCUUGCAGUAUUGGGUUUCUAACCAGCCGCCGUGACCCGGCGGUGGGACAAUGCCAGACGGGGAGUUUGACUGGGGCGGUCGCCUCCGAAAGGGUAUCGGAGGCGCCCAAAGGUUUCCUCAGAAUGGACGGAAACCAUUCGAAGAGUGCAAAGGCAGAAGGGAGCUUGACUGCGACACCGACGGGUGGAGCAGGUACGAAAGUAGGGCUUAGUGAUCCGGUGGUAUUAAGUGGGAAUGCCAUCGCUCAACGGAUAAAAGCUACCCUGGGAUAACAGGCUUAUCACUCCCAAGAGUUCACAUCGACGGAGUGGUUUGGCACCUCGAUGUCGGCUCAUCGCAUCCUGGGGCUGUAGUAGGUCCCAAGGGUUGGGCUGUUCGCCCAUUAAAGCGGUACGCGAGCUGGGUUCAGAACGUCGUGAGACAGUUCGGUCCCUAUCCGGCGUGGGCGUAGGAUAUCUGAGAGGAGCUGUCCUUAGUACGAGAGGACCGGGAUGGACGGGCCGCUGGUGCAUCGGUUAGACUGCCAAGUCUACGGCCGAGUAGCCAAGCCCGGAAGGGAUAAACGCUGAAGGCAUCUAAGCGUGAAGCCCCCCUUAAGAUGAGAUAUCCCAUUCGAAAGAAGUAAACCCCCUUGAAGACGACGAGGUAGAUAGGGCAGAGGUGGAAGUGUGGCAACACAUGGAGCUGACUGUUACUAAUCGGGUGAGGGCUUGACAAA
rnacentral:rRNA from 1 species